rnacentral:tRNA from 1 species
GGAGGUCUGCGCCAGUGGUAGAGUGUAUGCUUGGCAUGCAUGCGGUCCUGGGAUCAAUCCCCAGUUCCUCCA